GAUGAACGCUGGCGGCGUGCCUAAUACAUGCAAGUCGAGCGAACAGACGAGGAGCUUGCUCCUCUGACGUUAGCGGCGGACGGGUGAGUAACACGUGGAUAACCGACCUAUAAGACUGGGAUAACUUCGGGAAAGCGGAGCUAAUACCGGAUAAUAUAUUGAACCGCAUGGUUCAAUAGUGAAAGACGGUUUUGCUGUCACUUAUAGAUGGAUCCGCGCCGCAUUAGCUAGUUGGUAAGGUAACGGCUUACCAAGGCAACGAUGCGUAGCCGACCUGAGAGGGUGAUCAGCCACACUGGAACUGAGACACGGUCCAGACUCCUACGGGAGGCAGCAGUAGGGAAUCUUCCGCAAUGGGCGAAAGCCUGACGGAGCAACGCCGCGUGAGUGAUGAAGGUCUUCGGAUCGUAAAACUCUGUUAUUAGGGAAGAACAAAUGUGUAAGUAACUAUGCACGUCUUGACGGUACCUAAUCAGAAAGCCACGGCUAACUACGUG
rnacentral:rRNA from 1 species